CCCCUCCACAGCCACAUUCAUUCACCCCAAGCUGUAAUCUGCACCCCUCCUCAGAGGCACAUCUGUUUCCUGAAAACCAGGCGGUCACUCCACUAUAAGCAUCCAAGGUUUCGCUUCUCCUUAAUGUGGCCCUAUAUCCAGACUGACCUCUGGGUAAACUCGACCCCCAUCAUAAGCCAGUGGGCCUGCUAGAGAUGGAACUUCUCCAUUUGGACAUCUGCUGCAUCAACAUUUAGCUUUAAGAGCUCAGAACCAUAACCACCGCGGCUUCUGUGCUGCUGUAGUUAGCAGGCUCCUUCCCCCUCACUCCACAGCAUCCACGGUGGCGGCCGGCACCGGAGUUCCUAGUAGAAUCACUACAAAUUUAUCCUGAAAGCGUCAAGCUACUUGCUGUGAACGUUCUGUCAGGACUCCAAGCUAAGACCAUAGGUCACCUGUGAGGAGGGCAUCAUCAGAGCUUUCCCUCCACCUGGGACACAUCACUGCACAGGCUCGGGGUCUCAACAGCGUGACGUGUCUACUUAGGACAUUGAGUUCCAUUUCCUUGCUUGGCAGGAAAUGUGGCUGCACUGUGCCUAAAGAGAAGAGAUGCUUAACAGAUAUUUUAAGGCAAAAGGAUGGACUAACAGAGAGGAAGAAUGCCUUAGGAAGCAACUGGGGUGUCAGUGAAGAAGAAAAAGCUUUCAGAUUGUUGUAAGGUACUCUAGUUUUCUACAUUAAAAUAAAGAAACAACAAUUACUGUCUAUACA
rnacentral:lncRNA from 1 species